rnacentral:rRNA from 1 species
GAUGAACGCUGGCGGCAUGCUUUACACAUGCAAGUCGAACGGUAACAGGUUAAGCUGACGAGUGGCGAACGGGUGAGUAAUGCAUCGGAACGUGCCCGAUCGUGGGGGAUAACGCAGCGAAAGCUGCGCUAAUACCGCAUACGAUCUGAGGAUGAAAGCGGGGGACCGUAAGGCCUCGCGCGAUCGGAGCGGCCGAUGUCAGAUUAGGUAGUUGGUGGGGUAAAGGCCCACCAAGCCGACGAUCUGUAGCUGGUCUGAGAGGACGACCAGCCACACUGGGACUGGGACACGGCCCAGACUCCUACGGGAGGCAGCAGUGGGGAAUGUUGGACAAUGGGCGAAAGCCUGAUCCAGCAAUGCCGCGUGCAGGAAGAAGGCCUUCGGGUUGUAAACUGCUUUUGUACGGAGCGAAAAGGUCCUUUCUAAUACAAGGGGCUCAUGACGGUACCGUAAGAAUAAGCACCGGCUAACUACGUGCCAGCAGCCGCCGUAA